AACGAACGCUGGCGGCAUGCCUAACACAUGCAAGUCGAACGAGACCUUCGGGUCUAGUGGCGCACGGGUGCGUAACGCGUGGGAACCUGCCCUUAGGUUCGGAAUAACUCCCCGAAAGGGGUGCUAAUACCGGAUAAUGUCUUCGGACCAAAGAUUUAUCGCCUUUGGAUGGGCCCGCGUUGGAUUAGCUAGUUGGUAGGGUAAAAGCCUACCAAGGCGACGAUCCAUAGCUGGUCUGAGAGGAUGAUCAGCCACACUGGGACUGAGACACGGCCAGACUCCUACGGGAGGCAGCAGUGGGGAAUAUUGGACAAUGGGCGAAAGCCUGAUCCAGCAAUGCCGCGGGAGUGAUGAAGGCCUUAGGGUUGUAAAGCUCUUUUACCCGGGAUGAUAAUGACAGUACCGGGAGAAUAAGCUCCGGCUAACUCCGU
rnacentral:rRNA from 1 species